UUGUUGGAGAGUUUGAUCCUGGCUCAGGACGAACGCUGGCGGCGUGCUUAACACAUGCAAGUCGAGCGGAAAG
rnacentral:rRNA from 1 species